rnacentral:rRNA from 1 species
GAUGAACGCUGGCGGCGUGCCUAAUACAUGCAAGUCGAGCGAACAGACGAGGAGCUUGCUCCUCUGACGUUAGCGGCGGACGGGUGAGUAACACGUGGAUAACCUACCUAUAAGACUGGGAUAACUUCGGGAAACCGGAGCUAAUACCGGAGAAUAUAUUGAACCGCAUGGUUCAAUAGUGAAAGACGGUUUUGCUGUCACUUAUAGAUGGAUCCGCGCCGCAUUAGCUAGUUGGUAAGGUAACGGCUUACCAAGGCAACGAUGCGUAGCCGACCUGAGAGGGUGAUCGGCCACACUGGAACUGAGACACGGUCCAGACUCCUACGGGAGGCAGCAGUAGGGAAUCUUCCGCAAUGGGCGAAAGCUUGACGGAGCAACGCCGCGUGAGUGAUGAAGGUCUUCGGAUCGUAAAGCUCUGUUAUUAGGGAAGAACAAAUGUGUAAGUAACUAUGCACGUCUUGACGGUACCUAAUCAGAAAGCCACGGCUAACUACGUG